ensembl:lncRNA
AGGAAUUAUAAAUAGCUGCCCCGUGAAAUAUUCGUCUCCUGAUUCCUGAGAGGGCGCUUCUGUGAAAAGAAAGAAGGCAGAUAACUGGAUUCCUUGUAAACAUGCUGAAAACUGACCUUUUGGUAUAUAGACUAAAGGCUUCAUUGCAAAUCCUUCAUAUGGGCAUGAUAGGAAGGAUUAGCCAUCCACGCCACCUGCAUCAGAGCAUUGAUGGAAAGAAACAGAUACAGGGUGAUCCUUCUCUGGCAAGGACACUAGCAACGCGGUUUUAGCGGUUUCAGAGCACAAAUCUAGCAUCCAGUGUUCUUUGAACUGAUGAUGUGACCUGCAGCAUCAAGGGUCUAGUGGGGAUAACAGUGAGUCCUCAGUGGAAUAUCUCUGUGGUGGGAUUAUGUCUGCAUGAUCUUCUUAGUUCUUGACCAUUUUCCACCCCAGUCCUCCAGUAUUCCCAAGUCGUCUGUGAAUUGUGUGAUAAACUUUCAACACAUCUCCGAUUAAAUAAGCCACAAGUUUCUGUUGCUUGCAGGUAAAGACCCUGACUGGUAUACUUGCCACCUAGACUCUACUCCCUAAAAUCAGGAACUGUUUAUUCUGAUCCUUUCCUAUCCCUUUCUUGUGUUAUCUGAGAAAUUCUUCUUGACUGCGUCCAUGAAUAUAUGAAGGUGGAUCUUGCAAUUGUUGCUAUGUUCCCAACUGAUUUGGGUUAAUUGUUUGCCAAUCCUUUUGUUCUGUUCUUGCUGUUUGUUUUGUUUUCUUCAUUCUUCCCUAUUUUUUUUAGUAGAGUGGUUAAAUGUAAAGUCUCUCAAGUCCGACUAAAUGGAUUUGAAUAUUGGUUCUAAAUUUUAUUAGCUUUGUGACCUUAGGCACAGCACCAAAUGUCCAUAUGGCUAAGAUUGUUCAUAUUAAAGACUGGCAUGAUUGUAGUAUCUAACACAAAAGGUAACUGGCUGUUAAAUUUUAAUCAAAUACUACAAAUAAAUGACUUAUUUGCUAUUUUUGUUGCUAUUCUAACAAUCAUUUAUUGAGCACCUGCUAGUUUUUUGUAUUCUUAUAUUUUCAUAAUAAAAAUUUUAUAAGGGAAGUUUUAUAAUGUAAUUACCUUAGACCAAAAUGUCCAAUAUGCUGUAAUAUAUCCAUAAGGCAAAUCUUGUUUAUAUAGCAUUUUUAAAUCCUAAAAGUAAACACACUUGUGUGAAAUUUGUAAAUAGGAGAGUAUUUCACUUCUUUCCUUGGGGUGAAAUUUUUCCUAUUUGAGAGCAGUAUGUUACAAUUAUGCGGAGACACUUGUUAGUAGAUUUAAUGGUGUUGUUACGUAAGUUUGUCUUCACCACUGUUUGCAGGGGUUGUUCAGAGGUUUAAGGAUUGAGUUUAUCCACCGAACGUAUUGAUGGGAAGCAAUAAAAUAAUUCAUGCAAACAAAUAGAACAUUUGCAGAAAGCCUAAAAUUAAAUAUGGCCACUGCUAAAAAUAUGUAAUGCAGAAGCAUAAAAUAUGUAUGAAAUUAUGUAAAUAGGCUGGAAAAAGUAUUCCAGCUAAACUUGACUACUAGUUUUCUGAAGGCUUGCCAAACUCUAAAUAAAAGCUGUAUUGAGUAGAAUGUUUAGACAUCUGGAUACUUUUUCUUUAAAUUCCGGAAAAAUAUUCUGCAUGUAGUUUGAAAUGUGGCUACCUAAGUCGCUAUUUCCACUACAGUCAAAAUAGUUAUUCUUUGUAAUUUCCUGUUUGUCAUAUUACUUCUUUUCAACCAGCUGAUGAUCAAAGAUACUCACAAUAUUUUUUUAAACUGUUUUUCCUGCCUAAUUUUCUAGUUAGUGUUUUAACAGGCUUGCAUUGGCAAGCCAACUUUUCCUUUGACCUAUUCAGGCUUUCAAUCUUUAGACCUCUCUCUGCUGCCAGAGCUAUGCAAUUUAUUAAAAUUAAAUUGAACACUGCAAAAAAUAUUAACAAAGUUCAGCAGUUCACCAAAUUUAAUGUUGAAAAUUAUUUUUCCAGUCAUGUUCAUGUCGCAGGAAAUUCUUUGAAUACUGAAUCUAUCUUGGGCAAUUUCAAUCUAUAAUAAAACCAGGAAGUAGG